UCAGUUUCUUUGCUUUAGGGAAGGGAGGUGCUAAACAGGUUCUACUGCUACCCUUCCCUUUACAGCAGAGACACUUAACUAGAGCCUUUCAGUUCAAGAUCUCAGUGGGUCCUGAUUCAAACUCAAACACACCAGGCAGGCUCUGUAGAGUUGUGCCAUGUCACUCUUUCAAAUGGCUGAAGCUGAGGCAUGGAGAGGUGAAAUAACCUGCCCACCAUCAUCCAGUGCUGGAUUGUGCAGUAGGUAAUGCAGGAUGGCAUUGCCUAAGGAAGAACCCUUCCCAUGUGCACAGAAAAGAAAUAUCCUUCCUGUGGCCCCUGCUGCCUUCCUCAUCUUCAAAUCCUUCCUGAAAACACACUCCUUCCAGAUCACCGGCCUUUCAGGGAUGAUUUCCACUUCAUUACUCCUGCCAGCUUCUGCUUCCUCCUACUAUUUAGAUAUGCAUUAAAACCUACUUAUCUAAA